rnacentral:rRNA from 15 species
UCAUGGCGUACGGGUGAGUAAAUGCUAGGAAGCUACCCUUAGGAAGUUGAAUAAACUAUAUUGAAAUGAAUCGUAUUCGCCUAAGGAUGCUCUUGGCUAACAGCAGUUAGUUGGUGAGGUAAUGGCUUACCAAGACGAUGACGUUUAGUCUGGGUUGAAAGACUUUAAGGCCACAGUGGAGAAUGAGAAUGCCCACAGCUUUAUAUAAAGCGCAGCAGUCAAGAAUCGUUUACAAUGCACGAAAGUGUGAUAACGAAAGCCAGAAUCUCAUUUAGGCUCCGGUCUAAGAGAUGUAGUCCAGCAGGAUAAUGACUAGUUGGACUAAUAGUCGUAACCCAUUUCGGUGCCAGAAGUUUCGGUUAGACCGAUACGGCAAGCAUUGUUCGUUGUAAAUUGGCGUAAAGGGUACGUAGGUUGCUUUCUGCCCACUUAUAGGUAGAAGGCUUGAAUCCAAUAGGGGUAACCAGUAUUUCGAGAGUAGCGCUGAUAUGCUUUGAUACUCGAAGGACUACCAAUAGCGAAAGCAGGUUGCCAGCUAGAGAUUGACACUGAGGUACGAAAGCGUAGGGAGCAAACAGGAUUAGAUACCCUGGUAGUCUACGCCCUAAACGAUGAGUGCUAGUGCUUGGCUCUAUUAUUAGUCAGACACUUAGCAAACGCAAUAAGCACUCCGCCUGGGAAGUACAGUCACACGACAGAACACCAAAUGAUUAGACGGUCCCGAGAACCCGCAGUGAAGCAUGACGCUUAAUGCGAUGACCCGCGCAUAACCUUACCUGUGCUUGAAUCUCAAUCCUCGUGAUUGAUGACAGGUGCUACAUGACCCUCUUCAGCAUGUGCCUUAUGGUGCUAGGUUUGAUCCGCUAACAUGCGCAAUCCUUACUGUUAAUUAUUACU